GUGGAGAGGGAAGAUUUGAGGCAUGACUUUGAAUGCUUAUAGCUGGCCAUGGAAAUGGUAGGAUUUCUUCCCAGAACGUGAAGACAGCCAUUAACAGGGAGCUGGAUGAAGUGGAACAGCCAGGACAUGAACCAGCGCCCAUAUGGGAUACCAUUGUCGCAGGUGAUGGCUUUGUCUGCUAUUCUGCAUCACCGGUCCCUGUGUGUGGACUUUCUAGAAGUACAGCAAAUUCAAAUAGUAGCAAUCCAGUGCCCUGGACAGCUCUACAGCAAAUGAUACAAUACUGGAAGUCAGCUGUUGUAAAGCACUCUGUGUGGUACCUGAUGUGAAGAUCGUCUCUCUUUUCUUGGCAAUACUGAUUUGGGUAGUAUCUGUUACAAGAAGGCAUACCGGGACGACUCCCUUGAUAUCUGUAAUCCUGAAGUUCUGCCUGUUGUCUCAGAAUUAUUAGAAGUGAGUGACAUGU